UACAGAGGGUGCAAGCGUUUGUUCGGAAUUAUUGGGCGUAAAGCGCGUGUAGGCGGCUUUGCAAGUCGGGUGUGAAAGCCCUCAGCUCAACUGAGGAAGUGCGCCCGAAACUGCAGAGCUUGAGUGCCGGAGAGGGUGGCGGAAUUCCCCAAGUAGAGGUGAAAUUCGUAGAUAUGGGGAGGAACACCAGUGGCGAAGGCGGCCGAUCCUGG
rnacentral:rRNA from 1 species